rnacentral:rRNA from 1 species
UAGAGUUUGAUCCUGGCUCAGGACUAACGCUGGCGGUAUGCCUUAGACAUGCAAGUCGAACGAGUUUCCGGGCUUGCUCGGAAAUUAGUGGCGAACGGCUGAGUAACGCGUAGGUGACCUACCCCGUAGUGUGGAAUAACUGCCCGAAAGGGUAGCUAAUACCGCAUGUUGAGCCGACAUCGAUGUCGUCUCCAAAGCAGAAAUGCGCUAUGGGCGGGGCCUGCGUUCGAUUAGCUAGUUGGUGGGGUAAUGGCUCACCAAGGCGACGAUCGAUAGGUGGUCUGAGAGGACGAUCACCCAGACUGGGACUGAGACACGGCCCAGACUCCUACGGGAGGCAGCAGUCGGGAAUUUUGCGCAAUGGGGGAAACCCUGACGCAGCAAUACCGCGUGUGGGAUGAAGGCCUUCGGGUCGUAAACCACUUUUUUCGGGGACGAUAAUGACGGUACCCGAAGAAUAAGCCACGGCUAACUACGUGCCAGCAGCCGCGGUAAUAC